UCGAGGGGUAUAGUAGCAAUACUAGAGACCGGCGCACGGGUGCGUAACGCGUAUGCAACCUACCUUGAACAGGGGAAUAGCCCAGAGAAAUUUGGAUUAAUGCCCCAUGGUAUUUUGAGAUGGCAUCAUCUUAUUAUUAAAGAUUCAUCGGUUCAAGAUGGGCAUGCGUCCCAUUAGUUAGUUGGUAAGGUAACGGCUUACCAAGACAAUGAUGGGUAGGGGUCCUGAGAGGGAGAUCCCCCACACUGGUACUGAGACACGGACCAGACUCCUACGGGAGGCAGCAGUGAGGAAUAUUGGUCAAUGGGCGCAAGCCUGAACCAGCCAUGCCGCGUGCAGGAUUAAGGCCCUAUGGGUUGUAAACUGCUUUUAUACGGGAAGAAACAACGAUUCGUGAAUCGUCUUGACGGUACCGUAAGAAUAAGGAUCGGCUAACUCCGUGCCAGCAGCCGCGGUAAUACGGAGGAUCCAAGCGUUAUCCGGAAUCAUUGGGUUUAAAGGGUCCGUAGGCGGGCCUGUAAGUCAGUGGUGAAAUCUCCCCGCUCAACGGGGAAACGGCCAUUGAUACUGCAGGCCUUGAAUUAUUGGGAAGUAACUAGAAUAUGUAGUGU
rnacentral:rRNA from 1 species